rnacentral:rRNA from 1 species
AACCUGGCGGCGAGUGGCGAACGGGUGAGUAAUAUAUCGGAACGUACCCAGAAGUGGGGGAUAACGUAGCGAAAGUUACGCUAAUACCGCAUACGAUCUACGGAUGAAAGUGGGGGACCUUCGGGCCUCAUGCUUUUGGAGCGGCCGAUAUCUGAUUAGCUAGUUGGUGGGGUAAAGGCUCACCAAGGCGACGAUCAGUAGCUGGUCUGAGAGGACGACCAGCCACACUGGAACUGAGACACGGUCCAGACUCCUACGGGAGGCAGCAGUGGGGAAUUUUGGACAAUGGGCGCAAGCCUGAUCCAGCAAUGCCGCGUGAGUGAAGAAGGCCUUCGGGUUGUAAAGCUCUUUUGUCAGGGAAGAAACGGUAGAGGCUAAUAUCCUUUGCUAAUGACGGUACCUGAAGAAUAAGCACCGGCUAACUACGUGCCAGCAGCCGCGGUAAUACGUAGGGUGCAAGCGUUAAUCGGAAUUACUGGGCGUAAAGCGUGCGCAGGCGGUUUUGUAAGUCUGACGUGAAAGCCCCGGGCUCAACCUGGGAAUUGCGUUGGAGACUGCAAGGCUUGAAUCUGGCAGAGGGGGGUAGAAUUCCACGUGU